UUUGACCGUGCGAAGGUAGCAUAGUCAGUAGUCUUUUAAUUGGAGGCUUGUAUGAAUGGUUGGACGAGGGACAAGCUGUCUCUUUUACGUAGUUUGAAUUUAACUUUUAAGUGAAAAGGCUUAAAUUAUUUAGUGGGACGAUAAGACCCUAUAAAACUUUAUACAGGUUGGGUUAAAUUUGUGAUUUAGGUGAAAAGUAGUUUUAUUUGACUUGUAUUUUGUUGGGGCGACAUAGAUAUAAUAUGUAACUGUCUAUUAAAUUUAAUAGUGUUAAUUAGUUUUUGAUCCUUCUUUGUGGAUUAAAAGAAUAAGUUACUUUAGGGAUAACAGCGUGAUUUUCCUUGAGAGUUAAUA
rnacentral:rRNA from 1 species